rnacentral:rRNA from 2 species
AAAAGAAACUAACAAGGAUUCCCCUAGUAACUGCGAGUGAAGCGGGAAAAGCUCAAAUUUAAAAUCUGGCGGUCUCUGGCCGUCCGAGUUGUAAUCUAGAGAAGUAAUGCCCGUGCUGGACCGUGUAUAAGUCUCCUGGGAUGGAGCGUCAUAGAGGGUGAGAAUCCCGUCUUUGACACGGACUACCAGUGCAUUGUGGUAUGCUCUCAAAGAGUCGAGUUGUUUGGGAAUGCAGCUCAAAAUGGGUGGUAAAUUCCAUCUAAAGCUAAAUAUUGGCGAGAGACCGAUAGCGAACAAGUACCGUGAGGGAAAGAUGAAAAGAACUUUGGAAAGAGAGUUAAACAGUACGUGAAAUUGCUGAAAGGGAAACGCUUGAAGUCAGUCGCGUUGGCCAGGGAUCAGCCUUGCUUUUGCAUGGUGUACUUUCUGGUUGACGGGUCAGCAUCAAUUUUGACCGCUGGAAAAGGGCCUGGGGAAUGUGGCAGCUUCGGCUGUGUUAUAGCCCCUGGUCGCAUACAGUGGUUGGGAUUGAGGAACUCAGCACGCCGCAAGGCCGGGUUUCGACCACGUUCGUGCUUAGGAUGCUGGCAUAAUGGCUUUAAGCGACCCGUCUUGAAACACGGACCAAGGAGUCUAACAUGCCUGCGAGUAUUUGGGUGGAAAACCCAAGUGCGUAAUGAAAGUGAAAGUUGAGAUCCCUGUCGCGGGGAGCAUCGACGCCCGGACCAGAACUUUUGGGACGGAUCCGCGGUGGAGCAUGUAUGUUGGGACCCGAAAGAUGGUGAACUAUGCCUGAAUAGGGUGAAGCCAGAGGAAACUCUGGUGGAGGCUCGUAGCGAUUCUGACGUGCAAAUCGAUCGUCAAAUUUGGGUAUAGGGGCGAAAGACUAAUCGAAC